CAGUGAGUUCUAUUUAAAGAAAAAAAAAAUCAAAGAGGGAUAGCCAAGAAAUGGGAGUAGAACGUGAGAACUUUCCUGCACUUGUGAAAUUGAAAACAAGCAAAGGUGGUGGUCUAGGAGUAUCAAGAGUGAAGAAUUUCUUGCAAGGAGAAGAGAAACUAUUUCAGAUGAAUUAGCAGAUGGUUUUGAAAUUGCUUAGAAGAUGAGAGAUCUGCGGGGAAAAGGAGACAUGGGGAAUUUCUAAAAUAAAUCUAUGUUUGAAUUUCCGGAUUAUGUGGAAUUUUAAUUUCAGAAGACUUGUAUUGUAAUAAAACACUUAAUAUUUUGUUGGUGUUGAAAAUUGUUAAAGAAAAAUUAUAUAUGUAUUUUUGUGGAAAAUAAAUUGUAACGCCUAAAUCGGGGUGUUACACCGCG
rnacentral:sRNA from 1 species